rnacentral:lncRNA from 1 species
UUUGAAAAGUGUGUCCUGAGCCCAUCGAUUUCACUUUGGUCCUAGCCUGUAGAUUAAAUCUAGGCAGGGCUGUAACCAGCAUGGAAGAAUCCCAACUCUGUCCUAGAGCAAAAACAUCCAGAUCUCUUUGCUAACCAGCUGCUGCUCUCUGCUGCCAUCUGCUGCUAACCAACUGCAAAAUAGCUCCUUCCUUUGGUAAGGGGAGGAGUCUAGCUUUUCAGCUUGAUAAUAGGAGGUUAUCUUUAGCUCUUUUGUGAUGCAAACCCCAGCCAGUAACUCCCAUCCAAUUAUCUAAAGAAAAUCUUAGGAAUUUUUUAAGUUGGUCUUUUGAAAUUUUUUUUUUAUUGAGUACUACCCAUUUGGGUCCCCCAUUCUAAACUUUAAGAUAAUAUGUGAAAAAAAAAGUUCAAUUUCUGUUUUAUCCAUGAGUCCCU